UUCUCUACAUCCCACGUUCUGUUAAUGGGGUUGGUUUAGUGGAAUAAUAAGCUCUAUAAAGCUACUAAUUAAUUUUGUAGUUGAAGAAAAACAAGUAUGCUUCCUCUACUCCCUGUUCAAUAGACCGUUCCAUAUAAGAAUUGAUUUCUUGACUACGUUCAUUCUCCUAUUAUACAAUUGUUGGUUGAAUCAAUUCCUUCUAUUGCAGUAGCCUUGUCAUUUUUAAAUCUCAUCUAGCAGCUAUUUCCAAAUCACCAUGCCUAAGCCAAAGAAUUUCCAAAGGAACCACUACUAAAAACCUUUUCACGCCAAGCAUCAACAUCACCCACCUUCUUGUUCAUGGAACCACCUCAUCUUUGUACAUAGUCUUUCAGAGCUGGCCUUGUCUCAAAGUACUAUUACCAGGUUUCAUUCUAAGUCUCCCACUCUAGUCCAACUCGUUUUAUUGGUGAGAUUGGGGUCAAGAAACUUGCUCGUGCUUUCGGUUCAAUACAACCUUAGGAAUGUCUUGUGAGGAAGAAAAGUGUCUCGGGUACCAAAGAAGGAAUGGUGUAUGCUUUGGUGUGUUUGCUUGAAGUGCGUACGGGGGGAACAAAUUGGGUUUUUAUUGAAUUGUAA